UGGACGUAUCCGAUGGACAACAGGUUAGAUUCCUGUACCACAUAUGAACAGAACUGUGGGGACGCAUGUGGAGAGCACGAGCCGGGAAUGGAAAUACCGGUACAAGCGGAGAAGGAGUCUGGUUGGCAAAUCCGCCAGGCAAUCCGAAGACGUGAUGUGGAGCGAAUUAGAGUAGCGAAGCGUGUGAGCCAUGUGCCGAGAAAAGCCGCUAUUGUUUCAUGUGUGCCCGUACCGUAAACCGACACAGGUGGAUGAGGAGAGAAUCCUAAGGCCGGCGGAAGAAGCAUUGUUAAGGAACUCGGCAAAAUGACCCCGUAACUUCGGGAGAAGGGGUGCCUGCUAACGCAGGCCGCAGAGAAUAGGCUCAAGCAACUGUUUAGCAAAAACACAGGUCUAUGCGAAACCGAAAGGUGAAGUAUAUGGGCUGACGCCUGCCCGGUGCUGGAAGGUUAAGAGGAGAGGUUAGCGCAAGCGAAGCUUUGAAUUUAAGCCCCAGUAAACGGCGGCCGUAACAAUAACGGUCCUAAGGUAGCGAAAUUCCUUGUCGGGUAAGUUCCGACCCGCACGAAAGGCGUAAUGAUUUGAGCACUGUCUCGACAAUGCAUCCGGUGAAAUUGAAGUACCAGUGAAGAUGCUGGUUACCCGCGCCAGGACGGAAAGACCCCAUGGAGCUUUACUCCAGUUUGGUACUGGGAUUCGGUACUGCAUGUACAGGAUAGGUGGGAGACUAAGAACUUGGGACGCCAGUUUCAAGGGAGUCGCUGUUGGGAUACCACCCUUGCAGUAUUGGAUUUCUAACCAGCCGCCGUGAUCCGGCGGUGGGACAAUGCCAGGCGGGGAGUUUGACUGGGGCGGUCGCCUCCGAAAGGGUAUCGGAGGCGCUCAAAGGUUCCCUCAGAAUGGUUGGAAACCAUUUGAAGAGUGCAAAGGCAGAAGGGAGCUUGACUGCGACACCGACGGGUGGAGCAGGUAGGAAACUAGGACUUAGUGAUCCGGUGUAUAAAGUGGGAUUGCCAUCGCUCAACGGAUAAAAGCUACCCUGGGAUAACAUGCUUAUCACUCCCAAGAGUUCACAUCGACGGAGUGGUUUGGCACCUCGAUGUCGGCUCAUCGCAUCCUGGGGCUGUAGCAGGUCCCAAGGGUUGGGCUGUUCGCCCAUUAAAGCGGUACGCGAGCUGGGUUCAGAACGUCGUGAGACAGUUCGGUCCCUAUCCGGCGCGGGCGGAGGAUAUUUGAGAGGAGCUGUCCUUAGUACGAGAGGACCGGGAUGGACGGACCACUGGUGUAUCUGCUGUCGACCAACGGCAUGGCAGAGUAGCCAAGUCCGGAAGGGAUAAACGCUGAAGGCAUCUAAGCGUGAAGCCCCCCUCAAGAUGAGAUAUCCCUCACAUAAGUGAGUAAGAUCCCUUGAAGACUACAAGGUAGAUAGGGCAGAGGUGGAAGCACGGUAACGUGUGGAGCUGACUGUUACUAAUCGAUCGAGGGCUUGACCAG
rnacentral:rRNA from 1 species